GACGAACGCUGGCGGCGUGCCUAAUACAUGCAAGUUGAGCGCUGAAGGUUGGUACUUGUACCGACUGGAUGAGCAGCGCACGGGUGAGUAACGCGUGGGGAAUCUGCCUUUGAGCGGGGGACAACAUUUGGAAACGAAUGCUAAUACCGCAUAAAAACCUUAAACACAAGUUUUAAUUUUGAAAGAUGCAAUUGCAUCACUCAAAGAUGAUCCCUCGGUGUAUUAGCUAGUUGGUGAGGUAAAGGCUCACCAAGGCGAUGAUACAUAGCCGACCUGAGAGGGUGAUCGGCCAACGUGGGACUGAGACACGGCCCAACCGCCUACGGGAGGCAGCAGUAGGGGAUCUUAGGCAAUGGACGAAAGUCUGACCGAGCAACGCCGCGGGCGUGAAGAAGGUUUUCGGAUCGUAAAACUCUGUUGGUAGAGAAGAACGUUGGUGAGAGUGGAAAGCUCAUCAAGUGACGGUAACUACAAAGAAAGGGACGGCUAACUACGUG
rnacentral:rRNA from 1 species